rnacentral:rRNA from 3 species
GCCUAUUUAAAUUUAGGGCUAACCCGUCUCUGUGGCAAAAGAGUGGGAAGAGCUCCGGGUAGAAGUGACAGACCUACCGAACCUGGUGAUAGCUGGUUGCCUGAGAAAUGGAUAGAAGUUCAGCCUCGCACACCCCAAAUCAAAAACAUAACAUCAAGACAAUGAGGGAAAUAUACGAGAGUUAGUUAAAGGGGGUACAGCCCCUCUAACAAAGGAUACAACCUUUACAGGAGGAUAAAGAUCAUAAUAUAUAAAACAUACUGUUUUAGUGGGCCUAAAAGCAGCCAUCUAAAUAGAAAGCGUUAAAGCUCAGACAGAAAAAAGUUUAUUAUACUGAUAAAAAAAUCUUAUUCCCCUAACAAUAUCAGGCUAACCCAUGCCCACAUGGAAGAAAUUAUGCUAAAAUGAGUAACAAGAAGACCUGCUCUUCUCCAAGCACAAGUGUAAACCAGAUCGGACAAACCACUGGAAAUUAACGAACCCAACCCAAGAGAGUAAUGUGAAUAACAAAAAAACCAAGAAAACCCCACAAUUAAACAAUCGUUAACCCCACACUGGAGUGCUAUUUUUUAAAGGAAAGACUAAAAGAAAGGGAAGGAACUCGGCAAACACAAGCCUCGCCUGUUUACCAAAAACAUCGCCUCCUGCAAUCAAACUCAGUAUAGGAGGUCCAGCCUGCCCAGUGACUACGGGUUCAACGGCCGCGGUAUUUUGACCGUGCAAAGGUAGCGCAAUCACUUGUCUUUUAAAUAGAGACCUGUAUGAAUGGCUAAACGAGGGCUUAACUGUCUCCCCCUUCAAGUCAGUGAAAUUGAUCUAUCCGUGCAGAAGCGGGUAUAACCAUACAAGACGAGAAGACCCUUUGGAGCUUAAGGUACAAAAUUCAAUCACGUUAAGCAACUCAAUAAAAAGCAAGAACUUAGUGAAAAAUGAAAUUUUACCUUCGGUUGGGGCGACCACGGAGGAAAAACAAGCCUCCGAGUGGAAUGGGCCAAAUCCCUAAAACUAAGAGAAACAUCUCUAAGCCACAGAACAUCUGACCAAAAAUGAUCCGGCUAAUAAGUCGAUCAACGAACCAAGUUACCCUAGGGAUAACAGCGCAAUCCUCUCCCAGAGUCCAUAUCGACGAGGGGGUUUACGACCUCGAUGUUGGAUCAGGACAUCCUAAUGGUGCAGCCGCUAUUAAGGGUUCGUUUGUUCAACGAUUAAAGUCCUACGUGAUCUGAGUUCA